rnacentral:rRNA from 2 species
CAAGGAGUCUUGCCGUCGUGCGAGUCGAAGGGCCUCCCGAAGCCCGAAGGCGUAGCGAAAGCGUAGACCGUGAUCCCCGGCCCCACAGGCAGCCGGGGCGCAGCGGCCGCCCUUCCGGCCGCGGAAGGAGCGAGAGCACGCCGGCAGGGACCCGAUAGGUGGUGAACUAUGCUCGGGCAGGGCGAAGGCCGAGGAAACUCGGCUGGAGGUCCGMAUGCGGUUCUGACGUGCAAAUCGAUCGCCUGACCCGAGUAUAGGGGCGAAAGACCAAUCGAACCACCUGGUAGCUGGUUCCCUCCGAAGUUUCCCUCAGGAUAGCUGUCGCUCGGAGUAAUAGUGCAGUCUCGUCCCCCGUAGAGAGAAUGAUCGGGGCGAUUCGGGGACGCUCGUGUCGCUCGACCCCUCCUCAAACUACGAAGGGACGAGGUGCCGGCCUCCCCCGAGUCGGAGGCCGGAGUGGGAUGCGAGUGAC